UAAUACGAAGGGAGCUAGCGUUGUUCGGAAUUACUGGGCGUAAAGGGCGCGUAGGCGGCCUUGUGCGUUGGGUGUGAAAGCCCCGGGCUCAACCUGGGAACUGCACUCGAUACGGCGAGGCUGGAAUCCGGAAGAGGAUGGUGGAAUUCCCAGUGUAGAGGUGAAAUUCGUAGAUAUUGGGAAGAACACCGGUGGCGAAGGCGGCCAUCUGGUCCGGUAUUGACGCUGAGGCGCGAAAGCGUGGGGAGCAAACAGGAUUAGAUACCCUGGUAGUCCACGCCGUAAACGAUGUGCGCUAGCCGUUGGCCAGCUUGCUGGUCGGUGGCGGAGCUAACGCAUGAAGCGCACCGCCUGGGGAGUACGGCCGCAAGGUUA
rnacentral:rRNA from 1 species